GACGAACGCUGGCGGCGUGCUUAACACAUGCAAGUCGAACGGAAAGGCCCUGCUUUUGUGGGGUGCUCGAGUGGCGAACGGGUGAGUAACACGUGAGUAACCUGCCCUUGACUUUGGGAUAACUUCAGGAAACUGGGGCUAAUACCGGAUAGGAGCUCCUGCUGCAUGGUGGGGGUUGGAAAGUUUCGGCGGUUGGGGAUGGACUCGCGGCUUAUCAGCUUGUUGGUGGGGUAGUGGCUUACCAAGGCUUUGACGGGUAGCCGGCCUGAGAGGGUGACCGGCCACAUUGGGACUGAGAUACGGCCCAGACUCCUACGGGAGGCAGCAGUGGGGAAUAUUGCACAAUGGGCGGAAGCCUGAUGCAGCAACGCCGCGUGCGGGAUGACGGCCUUCGGGUUGUAAACCGCUUUCGCCUGUGACGAAGCGUGAGUGACGGUAAUGGGUAAAGAAGCACCGGCUAACUACGUGCCAGCAGCCGCGGUGAUACGUAGGGUGCGAGCGUUGUCCGGAUUUAUUGGGCGUAAAGGGCUCGUAGGUGGUUGAUCGCGUCGGAAGUGUAAUCUUGGGGCUUAACCCUGAGCGUGCUUUCGAUACGGGUUGACUUGAGGAAGGUAGGGGAGAAUGGAAUUCCUGGUGGAGCGGUGGAAUGCGCAGAUAUCAGGAGGAACACCAGUGGCGAAGGCGGUUCUCUGGGCCUUUCCUGACGCUGAGGAACGAAAGCGUGGGGAGCGAACAGGCUUAGAUACCCUGGUAGUCCACGCUGUAAACGGUGGGUACUAGGUGUGGGGUCCAUUCCACGGGUUCCGUGCCGUAGCUAACGCUUUAAGUACCCCGCCUGGGGAGUACGGCCGCAAGGCUAAAACUCAAAGGAAUUGACGGGGCCCUGCACAAGCGGCGGAGCAUGCGGAUUAAUUCGAUGCAACGCGUAGAACCUUACCUGGGUUUGACAUGGAUCGGGAGUGCUCAGAGAUGGGUGUGCCUCUUUUGGGGUCGGUUCACAGGUGGUGCAUGGCUGUCGUCAGCUCGUGUCGUGAGAUGUUGGGUUAAGUCCCGCAACGAGCGCAACCCUUGUUCACUGUUGCCAGCACGUUAUGGUGGGGACUCAGUGGAGACCGCCGGGGUCAACUCGGAGGAAGGUGGGGAUGACGUCAAGUCAUCAUGCCCCUUAUGUCCAGGGCUUCACGCAUGCUACAAUGGCUGGUACAGAGAGUGGCGAGCCUGUGAGGGUGAGCGAAUCUCGGAAAGCCGGUCUCAGUUCGGAUUGGGGUCUGCAACUCGACCUCAUGAAGUCGGAGUCGCUAGUAAUCGCAGAUCAGCAACGCUGCGGUGAAUACGUUCCCGGGGCU
rnacentral:rRNA from 1 species